rnacentral:miRNA from 1 species
GGCCUCACCAACCGGAAGGAAUCCUUUCCGGUCGAUGAGGUUGUUAUACUUCAUCGAUUGGAAGGAUUUCCUUCAGAUCAAUGAGGUACAACAACCCCAUCGACCGGAAGGAAUCCCUUCCGGUUGAUGAGGUC